AGGGACUUGCUUCCUCUUGCAUGUGGAAUAGGCCCAGCUGGSCCAAAAAGGCAUUUUCCGUAUGUUCCCCUGAUGCCUUUGAAGCAGUUAAUGCUGGCUUCUCCCAGGGCAGGUAGUGGACUGGCUGUCCUCAUCUGGUCCUACCUGCCAACCACCUUCACUCCUCCUSCAGGAGGUCCUCACAGACCUGUUUGUGUGUCAGGACUCAGUUUUUGGAAGGGAGGAAACUGGGAGCUGAUUCCAGCCCUGGAUCAGCUGCUUAUUCGAGCAGUACCAGUGGAUCUGACGGGACAGCACCUGGGACAACCCUCUGCCUCCGCAGCCCGUGGAGCAGCUGCCUGAGAGCUGCCUGCAAAGGGCACCUCUCCCGGCAGCUCCCAGGUCUCCCACAUCAGAGCAGCCUGGCUGACCUGCCUGAUGCUCAGAUACGCUGCAUUUUGGGGGGGGGGAUCCCCCUGCAUCCUCCGUUCCCUGCAUCCGCAGAGGCCCUGGGGCUUGGGCGCUUGUCCCAGCAUCGCUGCGGUCCCAAGACUUUGGAGCAAAGCAGGGCCCRAAGCUCACGACUGAUUAUGCCCAACUCCCCACAGCACCCAGCAGAUCCCCUUCCUCCAGCAUCGGGAAUGACCCACGGACCCUGCCGCUCCCCAGAGGCCACUUUAUUCUGGGACCUCAGAUGUCGGGCARAAAAGCAACGUCAGAAUCAGCAUUGCUUGCCCACCACAGUCAGAUGGGUUUCAUCAGCAUGUCCGGGACUCAAGCCUGCUUUCUGCAGCAGGAUGCUUUAGCUAUUCCUGCCGUACCACUGCGGCAGGUCCCCAGUCGUUAAUCGAGCGUGUCAUGAGUUUGCAGUCAUGCCAGUCUCUGCUGAGUCACGCCAGCCGCUCCCAGCGCCGGGCGGCCGGCGAGGGGGCUGCAGCACGCAGAGCCUGGAGGGAGACCGUGACCCCGGGCGAUUUCUGGCUUCUCGCCCCUGCUGCAGCGGGUUUUCGAGGUGCAAAGGCUGUGGCACGCCAAGCUGCAGGCUGAGCUCCAGAAAAGUCUCUCCUCCCCGUGAAAUCCUCGCGGCUGUCGGCAGCAUCCAGAGCCUGCACUGGGUUGCUGGGUCCGCGUCUCGGUCUGCGACGCCUGGGAGCAKAGCCGGCCCUCUGCAUCUGCAUUCAUCAUGCUGGUGGCACCUUGCAGCCCUGGGCUGGGAUAACCUGGCCCCCUGCUUGGGGCUAAUCCCCUGCGCUGGUUCAUGCAUGCAGCAUUUUGWAGCAACCCCUAUUUUUACAGGCAGUGAAACUGAGGCAUGGAUUUCAGAAAAAGAGGAGGAGAGAGGGGGAAGAAAAGCCUGGCCAAGGCUGCAAGGAUCCCUGGGGCAGGCCUGGCUUGUUCCUUUUUUGAUCCAUUUUCCUCACAACUGGCCACCUGUAAAGCUGUUAGUUGUGUAUGUGGCAUUACAUUUGCAUUUCCAGCUGCUCCAGCCAGGUCUGCAUUUGCAUUUGCAUUUGCAGCUCCUCCAGCCAGGUACAGCCGCAGUGCCAGGACAAGCCCAGCACCCUGUGCACGCCUGGAGAUGACUGUUGUGUUUCUCCAUGGAAGCUGGAGCAGUUUUGGGGUGCUGCAAACCCUCCUUUCGGGGGCCCUGGCAGCUUUCCUGCAGCCGGUGGGUCACACAGCCUCACCACUGGUGGGACGGGGUGAGAGGGGAAACUGAGGCACCGCGCUGGGGAACCUGGCCGUGCCACUUGCCCAUGAGCACAGAGCAGGAGGAUGUGGAGAUGCGCUGGGGAGACUGGGAUUUGCAGAGGAAGCACUGGGAUUUGGACGCCCAAAUCCCUUCCCCCAGCUCCAGUGCCGACAUCCCAGUCGGGGGCUGAGUUUGGUGCCAAUCACUGUUUAAUUAGGGUUUGCUUCGAUGCAGAAGUACCACCCAGGUUUGGCUGUCCAUGCGUCGAAGGGCACAGCAUGAGCCAGGGGAGAAACAAGCCAUCCCAUGCCUCUUCCAAGGCUUGAGCUACCCUGUUCACUUUGAAUUAACAACACAGAGGCAAUGCCAGCAGCACGCUGGCUCCCCAGCGCUUUGCACUCUUGCUUGCACAUGAGCACGGUGCAUGAAAACGCCUCACGCUCGCCGCCCCAAGUUGCCUGCUGYGGGGUGCCCAGCCCCAGGGCCAGGCCAGUCGUAUUAAAAAAAGCCCCGUCAGAAAACCAUCCUCUGAGCUGGGGUUUCUCACGSCCGCAGCGGCGUGCUGUGACGGAGGCUCUCGCUUCGAACACGUUGCAAAGGGUUUGCUGCUCCCUCUCCCCGCACACCAUCCGGCUCGGAGGUGAAGUUUGCUCCUGGGCUGACCUUAGCGAUAAAAAGUGGAACUUAAGGCUUCAGCAUGACACAAGCGUGCAGGGCCCUUGGCUGAGCUUUAAUGCCUUGUUCUGCUCUGCCGCCGGCACAGCACUGAGCUGCCCUGCUCUAACAAAACCCGCUCUCCCCAUCUGCGACUUAAUAAAUCUCUGCUAGCAAAACCCA
ensembl:lncRNA